CCUACGGGUGGCUGCAGUGGGGAAUAUUGGGCAAUGGGCGCAAGCCUGACCCAGCAACGCCGCGUGAAGGAAGAAGGCUUUCGGGUUGUAAACUUCUUUUUAGAGGGAAGAGCAGAAGACGGUACGUCUUGAUUAAGCCAUGGCUAACUACGUGCCAGCAGCCGCGGUAAUACGGAGGUUGCAAGCGUUGUCCGGAAUUACUGGGUGUAAAGGGCGUGCAGCCGGGAAGACAAGUCAGAUGUGAAAUCCCGCGGCUCAAACGCGGAACUGCAUUUGAAACUGUUUUUCUUGAGUACCGGAGAGGUCAGCGGAAUUCCUUGUGUAGCGGUGAAAUGCGUAGAUAUAAGGAAGAACACCGGUGGCGAAGGCGGAUGACUGGACGGCAACUGACGGUGAGGCGCGAAAGCGUGGGGAGCAAACAGGAUUAGAUACCCUUGUAGUC
rnacentral:rRNA from 1 species